GCUCGAGUGGCGGAAUUGGUAGACGCGCUGGAUUCAAAAUCCAGUGUUUUAGGACGUGCGGGUUCGAUUCCCGCCUCGAGUACAA
rnacentral:tRNA from 3 species